UACAGGGGGUGCAAGCGUUGUUCGGAAUUACUGGGCGUAAAGGGUUCGUAGGUGGCCAACUAAGUCAGACGUGAAAUCCCUCAGCUUAACUGGGGAACUGCGUCUGAUACUGGAUGGCUUGAGUGCAGGAGAGGAAUGCGGAAUUCCAGGCGUAGCGGUGAAAUGCGUAGAUAUCUGGAGGAACACCGGUGGCGAAGGCGGCAUUCUGGACUGUAACUGACACUGAGGAACGAAAGCCAGGGGAGCAAACGGG
rnacentral:rRNA from 1 species